rnacentral:lncRNA from 1 species
CUUUUUUUGCCAUCCCAUAUUUCUUGAAUGCUCUACUCGUGGUUUCUUAUCAUUUUCACUGUGUUGUCUACAUUCUUUUCAAGAUUACAUAUAUUGUCUUCAUUAUCUGAGGUCCUGACUUCUAAGUGGUCUAAUCUAUUGGUGAGGCUUUCAAUUGAACUUUUAAUUUGAUUUAUCAUUUCUUUCAUUUUAAGGAUUUCUGUUUGUUUUUUUUUUUAGAACUUCUAUCUCACUAUUGAAGUAAUCUUUUGCUUCCAGUAUUUGUUUAUGUAGUUCUUUGUUGAAAUGAUCAUCUGCUGUCUGUAUUUUCUAUCUUAUAUCACCCUCUAAUUUAGAGAACAUCUUAAUCAUGUACAUCUAGAACUCCUUCUCUGUAAUUUCUUCUGCUGUGCUGGCCAUAGAUUCUAAUAAUGUGGUAUCUUGAUUUGUUUGAGGCACUUUCUUCCCUUGUAUUUUCAUAUUGCUUGUGUGUCUUCCCGUCUAGCUCUGUGGAUCCAAGGCAUUAGUGCAUUAGUAUUUUUACCCAAUAGGCUUAUAGUACCCUUAUAGGGAUCCAAUACCUCUCCUUUGAGGUUACAGACAAUGUUAUCAGAUCCUAAUAUAAAUAGUAUACAUCCUAAAAACAAACAUUUGCUAUUAAGAUGUUUACAGUUUGUUCACAAUGUACAGAAAUGGUAAAUUCAAUUAUUAUCUACAAUAUACUUAGUAGUAAAAGGGUUUACAGUUUCUGAUGGUGGACAAAGAACCAGGGGUGAGAAGUAGGAUGAUAUACUGAGGAGGUAGGGAGUGAGGAUAUUGAGUUGCUAUAUCUUAGGAAGUGUGAAGGAGAAAUAUAAAGAGGAAAAUUAGUAGCAGGAGAAGGGAGAGGAAUUAAUUUUGGGUAGACAAGUGAGAAGACAGUAGAGUACAUAAAACAAACACACAUAUAUAUUAAGAAAGAUAAAAUAUAUUAAAAUUGUAGAAAUUGGUGGGAUGAAAGAAAAAAAAGAAUAUACAACACAACUUUAAUAUACUAUUCAGACAUCCCAGUCCCCAAAAUACGAAUUCAUGCAAAGUACUUGGUUUCACAUAUGUUGGGGAUGCGAGGGUGGGAGAAUAGAGAGGGGGAGGGGGAAAAAAGAAAAAAAAAUCUUGAAGGAAGAAACAGGAUUGUUUUGGUUGGCAAUUCCUGUCUUUCCUGCUUCCCUUCUCAUCCAAUAGGUGAGGUUGUCUGUUGUUAGCUGGUGUCUCUGCCCUCAGGGUGGUAAAGUUAACCAGGGUGUCACUAUGCAAGGGUAGCAGCUGCUGGGGGGGGGGGGUUAGAAACUAGGUACCUGGCUAGCUGAAGUUCCAAAACUGGGAGUUGUCCCCCACUGAAGAUGGUGAUGAAGAUGACCCAACAUGGAGGUGUGUGCUUUCAGCAGUGGGCUGUCUCAUCGUUUGUGGGGAACUGAGCAGUGGCAUUGGAGAUGAGCUCGUGCAGUGUGUGGCUGUUGGCUGACUUCAGAGCCUGUGUGAAGUUCUCGGGUGCAGGCAGGCUACUGGGCAUAGUAUUUCCACUUCUGCAGAUUCCCAAGAAUGCAGUGACCGGGGAAUCCCC